GAUGAACGCUGGCGGCGUGCCUAAUACAUGCAAGUCGAGCGAAUGGAUUAAGAGCUUGCUCUUAUAAAGUUAGCGGCGGACGGGUGAGUAACACGUGGGUAACCUGCCCAUAAGACUGGGAUAACUCCGGGAAACCGGGGCUAAUACCGGAUAACAUUUUGAACCGCAUGGUUCGAAAUUGAAAGGCGGCUUCGGCUGUCACUUAUGGAUGGACCCGCGUCGCAUUAGCUAGUUGGUGAGGUAACGGCUCACCAAGGCAACGAUGCGUAGCCGACCUGAGAGGGUGAUAGGCCACACUGGGACUGAGACACGGCCCAGACUCCUACGGGAGGCAGCAGUAGGGAAUCUUCCGCAAUGGACGAAAGUCUGACGGAGCAACGCCGCGUGAGUGAUGAAGGCUUUCGGGUCGUAAAACUCUGUUGUUAGGGAAGAACAAGUGCUAGUUGAAUAAGCUGGCACCUUGACGGUACCUAACCAGAAAGCCACGGCUAACUACGUGCCAGCCGCCGCGGUAA
rnacentral:rRNA from 1 species